rnacentral:ncRNA from 1 species
AAAAAAGGCAAACCGUUUGAAAAAACGGGACGCAAAGCCAGGGGGCUAAGGCGCUUUGGGCGCUAUGCCGGCCCAGCUGCC